GCGUGAAUGUGUUGGUGGGACGAGUAAAGCUGUUGUGGACAGUUACGUGCAGGUUUUUAUGUGGGCACACAUUUUUAUUUCUCUGGAUGACUGUGGGGGAGUGAACUCGCCAAGCUGUGUAAUGGCUUGUGGGCAUCAUGUAUCUUCUUUUGCCUCCUCCUACUUACAGCCAGCAUCAGACAUGGACUCAUUUUUGCUGACCAUGCCAACAAUUUCAUGUCAAGAAAGAAGUUAAAAUAAUCGGAAUGCAUUAUUACCAUGGCUCCGGCCUGAGCUCCCACUCCAGGUCUCAACGGACCAGACUGUACACAAGGGAUUCGCCUCUGCUUCAGUAGAAAUGUAGUCUGCUGCCAUGAAUCAGGGGCGAGGAGCUUUGGCUGCCCUGUCAGAGGACUCUGCUGGAUUCCCAGCAGGCACCCACCCACAUGGUGGCUCACAACCUCUACUUCCAGAGGAUCCGAUGCCCUCUUCUGGCCUCCUCAAGUACUGCACAUAGGUGGUGCACAUAUAGCAUAUGCAGGCUGACAUUCAUACACGUAAAAUAAAAUACAUUUGUAGUUAA